rnacentral:lncRNA from 1 species
GUCCCCUAUAUGAGCAUGAUAAAAACUUGUUCCAAAUGGUUUUGCGUUGAAUUUAUAUGUAUAGCUUUGUCCAGGUAAUAUUGGACACUGUGUUACAAAUGCAACACCAUCAGACCAAGGGGAGUUUUUCUGAUGCAGUCCGUGCCAAUGAAUUGUCGUGCUUCUGUAUGCAUCAGAUUUCGUACAUGAACUAUGACUUCUUGAUUUUCCCUAGCUGUUAUUGUAGGUCCUGGGAAUCUACCAUUGACAGCAAUAACAAUUCGUGACUUGUAUCCAUCAGCAAGAAUAAACGUUUCUUCAGUUGAUCGUUCAAACUCCUGUUCAUUGUCC